UACGGGGGGGGCAAGCGUUGUUCGGAAUUACUGGGCGUAAAGCGCACGUAGGCGGAUUUGUAAGUCAGGGGUGAAAUCCCGGGGCUCAACCUCGGAACUGCCUUUGAUACUGCAAGUCUUGAGUCCGAUAGAGGUGAGUGGAAUUCCUAGUGUAGAGGUGAAAUUCGUAGAUAUUCGGAGGAACACCAGUGGCGAAGGCGGCUCACUGGUCCGGUACUGACGCUGAGGUGCGAAAGCGUGGGGAGCAAACAGG
rnacentral:rRNA from 1 species